UCUGUAGCCGCCUGUUUGCCUCUCGCUCACCCCUAUGGCUAGCUCGCGGUUUUCGUCGAUGUGAGUACUAGGCUAAGCCGAAGUAGACACUCGCAAGACGAUCGCUUCGCGGCAAUGGUAACGAUGGUUACUGCGAUGGCGGACCACAGGCGAUGCGGGAACUGCGGUGAGGUUAAGCUAACGUAGGUUAGCUGCUAGUUGAGUGAGUGUAUUACGAUGCCUAUACCCAGAGAUAUGAAGUAGAACCGCGAAGUUAUCUAUACUAUAUAUAUACUACUUGGUGUAAUGAUAGUGAAAUAUGUUCUAAAGUAGCUCAGGGAAUUUUGAUUAUGGUACCAGUAUGCGUUGUUGCCUCGGUUGACAAUGCAAAAUGUGCUGACUGCAUUGGGGUCAGUGUACCGUUGAGUCGUGGGUGCUUCUGAGCGUCUGGUACUGUUCUUGUUACCUGGUACUUGGCUACUGCUUGAAUUGUUGGGUGCUGGUCAUGUUGAGCACCGUUGAGUACGAACACUCUCCAUUUUGAUUCGUUCUCGCAACAUUAGCAGCCGAAGGUUUUCUCAGCUGCUGGUUGCUGUCGCCUAUACUCCGCACUGUGCGAAUCUCGGAGUGGCGCUCUCUUCUUCCGCCACGUUCUCAACUUUUUUACAAGAAAUGCAGCCCGAGCUUUCGUCAUUUGCUUUGUGCGAUACUCGCACGAGACACUCUGUCUUCAUAUUUGCACGCACUUCAUUUAUCGCCACGCUCCCGAUGCACCGUACAUAGCAUCGGUGUAAGUUUUCACCAGCUGCUUCAAGAGUUGCUGCAAAAAAAAAACAAUUACUUGAUCUCGGGCGAAGUGCUUAUGUGUAGCUCGUUUUCGGAGGUGAAAACUUAUGUUUUCGGAAGCUCCUUGUCUGCGGAACCAGUCAAAUUCUUGUUGCGGCGCUCUUUCUCGGCGCCUCGUUUGGAAACUCCUUCCGACAUCAUCAUAUGGAAGUUUUAGGAGAUUCUGGCUUAGCACCAUCUGGUGUAACGAACCGCUACACUUAUAAAAACUCUCGACCAGAUGUCACCUGGCUCGUCGGCUAUGGGUGUGAUGGCCUUGCCGACAUCUCGGAAUGCCUAUUCCUAAUAAAACUCGGAUAAUCGCGUGCCUCACCAAACUAACCGGUAUAAAGAAUACCACACAUCAUAAUGCUGGACCUUUCCUAUCUAUUUCCAUUCCGACUGAUCCGCCCUUCUCGCCUCCUUCGAUGUUCCGGAGGUCCUGGUCAUGCCCACCCUACCAUUGGUCGCAUUGCAAGUCAACGCCAGCCGCGGCCAACACAAAUUACUUUUAGCACAUUAUAAACCUUUCAAUCAUUGUAAAAUACAAACAUAAAUUAUCCUGCGGUAAGCGAUAUAAAAUUCCAUACGAAUAGACGACAAUUUAAAAUUACAAGAUUAAAGAUAUUUGGACAACAAAA